rnacentral:misc_RNA from 1 species
UACGGAGGGUGCAAGCGUUAAUCGGAAUUACUGGGCGUAAAGCGCGCGUAGGGGGCGUGAUAAGCCGGUUGUGAAAGCCCGGGGCUCAACCUCGGAACGGCAUCCGGAACUGUCACGCUAGAGUGCAGGAGAGGAAGGUAGAAUUCCCGGUGUAGCGGUGAAAUGCGUAGAGAUCGGGAGGAAUACCAGUGGCAAAGGCGGCCUUCUGGACGGACACUGACGCUGAGGUGCGAAAGCGUGGGUAGCAAAAAGG